GUAUCAGUAUCCUAUCCAAAAUAUCCCUGAACCCGCGACGAAAACUGUAAGAAUUAAAUAGUUCUCAACGACACCGUUUCAAAGUUUGAAAACGGCGUCAUACUUCCUCACGCUAUCUUCUCCUGAUUCAGUAAAACUCACACUCUCACACCAUAAAUGGCUGCAACUGCCUCUGCUUCCGCCUCAUUCUCCCGCUUCUCUGCUAUCUCAAAACCACCCCAACCGCAGUUCAUCCUCUUCAACUUCCCCAACCGAACCAAACCCCCCUAUUCUCGAACCAGCUCAACCCGGUUCACAUGUUCCGCCGGUCAGGCCGGGCUAUUCUCGAAAAUAGGCCGGUUGCUAAAGGAGAAGGCAAAGAGCGACGUAGAUAAGCUAUUCUCCGGUUUCUCCAAGACUCGUAACAACCUCUCCGUCAUCGAUGAGCUUCUUCUUUACUGGAAUCUCUCCGACACUGACAAAGUCCUCGACGAACUCGAAGAGGCUCUUUUAGUGUCUGAUUUUGGGCCUAAAAUUACUAUAAAGAUAGUGGAGAAUUUGCGUAAGGAUAUACUUUCAGGGAAGCUUAAAUCAGGGAGUGAGAUAAAGGAAGCAUUGAAGAAGAACGUUUUGGAUUUGUUAAGCAGCAAGGGAAGUAAAACUGAGCUUCAACUUGGAUUCAGGAAACCAGCCGUAAUAAUGAUAAUUGGUGUUAAUGGUGGUGGGAAGACAACAUCUUUGGGAAAGCUGGCUUAUAGAUUGAAGAAUGGAGGUGCUAAGAUAUUGUUGGCAGCUGGUGAUACAUUUAGAGCAGCUGCUAGUGAUCAGCUCGAAAUAUGGGCUGAAAGGACCGGGUGUGAGAUUGUUGUGGCUGAAACUGAGAAAGCCAAAGCAUCAGAAGUGCUUUCAAAGGCUGUAAAAAGAGGAAAAGACCUAGGUUAUGAUAUUGUAUUAUGUGAUACGUCUGGACGUUUACACACCAAUUACAGGCUCAUGGAAGAGUUGAUUUCUUGUAAAAAGGCUGUUGCUAAAGUAGUUGCUGGUGCACCCAAUGAGAUCCUACUGGUUCUGGAUGGGACUACUGGUUUGAAUAUGUUGCCACAGGCCAGAGAAUUCAAUGAAGUUGUGGGUGUAACUGGUUUAGUUUUGACUAAACUUGAUGGUUCUGCAAGAGGUGGCUGUGUGGUCAGUGUGGUUGAUGAACUCGGAAUCCCUGUAAAAUUUGUCGGUGUUGGCGAAGGUGUUGAAGACCUUCAACCCUUUGAUGCAGAAGCAUUUGUCAAUGCCAUUUUUAUGUAGACCAAGAGCAUGCUUUGGCUGCAUGCUACGGGCUUAGAAUCAAAUAUUUACACGAAUAUGCAGAGCAACUUGAGUCACAAGAAAGUUAUAUUUUAGCAUUGAGUCCAUUCUUGAAAGAGACCAAACUUUGCAAAUGGUGAUAAUGAUUCUGGAGAGGAGCUAUUCUUGCUUUGGAGGCAGCUGAGUUUAUAAAAUCCCGUCACAUGUUUUGUGGUUCCCAGUUUCUUGACAAUGUGACAGAGUGAUGGGAUUUAAUUUCCGCUCCUGACAUAUAUAACUCGACGAUUUUGAUGUGCUGUGCAUGUACAAAAAACAUAGAAUGAACAUAUGGUCCAUUGUUGUCAAUAUCUGAUUAAUGUUCAAGAGUUGAUGAGAAGACAACGCCAAACGAUGACGCUGAUGGAAAGGCCUAAGAAGCUUGCUUGUGGGUCAAAGAAUUGUAAUAAAGUAAUUUAUUUAAUUCUUGCGUUUUAGGUGGUCAUAAUCGUAUUACCAAAUUUUAUUUUAUGUAUGUGAUGCAUGUAUUGUAUGUUUAUAUGCGUGUGUAUGAGAUACACAAAUCUACGAGAUCA